GAUGAACGCUGGCGGCAGGCUUAACACAUGCAAGUCGAGCGAGCGGCGGACGGGUGAGUAAUGUCUGGGAAACUGCCUGAUGGAGGGGGAUACCUACUGGAAACGGUAGCUAAUACCGCAUACCAUCAGAUGUGCCCAGAUGGGAUUAGCUUGUAGGUGGGGUAAUGGCUCACCUAGGCGACGAUCCCUAGCGGGUCUGAGAGGAUGACCAGCCACACUGGAACGGAGCAACGGUCCAGACUCCUACGGAAGGCAGCAGAGGGGAAUAUUGCACAAGGGGCGCAAGCCUGAUGCAGCCAUGCCGCGUGUGUGAAGAGGGCUUUCGGGUUGUAAAGCACUUUCAGCGAGGAGGCGUUACUCGCAGAAGAAGCACCGGCUAACUCCGUGCCAGCAGCCGCGGUAAUAC
rnacentral:rRNA from 1 species